AUGCUCGCUUUGGCAGCACAUAUGCUAAAAUUGGAAUGAUACAGAUAAGAUUAGCAUGGCCCCUGCACAAGGAUGACAUGCAAAUUCAUGAACUGUUCCAUAUUUAA